rnacentral:rRNA from 1 species
GACGAACGCUGGCGGCGUGCUUAACACAUGCAAGUCGAACGGAAAGGCCUGCUUUCCCUUGUGGAUUGCGGGUACUCGAGUGGCGAACGGGUGAGUAACACGUGAGUGAUCUGCCCCCAACUUGGGUAUAAGCCUGGGAAACUGGGUCUAAUUCCCGAUAGGACUGCAGGGUGGUGCCUGUGGUGGAAAACGAUUUUCUAGUGGUUGGGGAUGAGCUCGCGGCCUAUCAGCUUGUUGGUGGGGUAAUGGCCUACCAAGGCGGCGACGGGUAGCCGGCCUGAGAGGGUGGACGGCCACAUUGGGACUGGGUUACGGCCCAGACUCCUACGGGAGGCAGCAGUGGGGAAUAUUGCACAAUGGGCGGAAGCCUGAUGCAGCGACGCCGCGUGGGGGAUGACGGCCUUCGGGUUGUAAACUCCUUUCGACCGCGAGGAAGCCACCUGGUUGGAAGGGUGGUGACGGUAGUGGUAGAAGAAGCACCGGCUAACUACGUG